AUAGUCUAUACUGAUGAUCCGGCGAUAUAAUAGCCGUCAGCAAAACUACCGUUAUUAUGUGCGAACUAUGACCGACGUGGCAAGUCCUUAAAGCGUUGCUGUUCAAAUUUUUCUCGGGAACCAAGCAGUCACUUUUCUUUUUCUCUAUUCCCCCGUCUUACAUGUCUCCAAAAAUCUAAAGAUGAAUCCACUAGAUCAAGCCGCAGACCAGUUCUCUUCCUUCCCUCCUCUCCAGUUCAUUCCAUAUCCACCUCCACUAAACCCUAACCCCAACCCCAAUCCCAAUCCUAAUCCGAGUCCAAAUAAUGCAAGUAACACCGCAAUCCAAAACCCUAACCUUGCCUCAACGAACCUUCUAUCAUUCACAGUCCCCAAGAAGCGAAGGCGAGGCCGGCCUCAACGCAAAGCGACGUCGUUUCUUCUUCCUCCCAUCCCCAACAUUACGCUCAACGGUAAUAACGGUCCCAUCCCCUCUUCUAUUUCUUCGUCUACUUCUUCAGUUUCAGCUCCUUUCGGACCCAACGAACAAAAUACCAAUUUUUUAACACAAAGGGUAUCCGAUACUACGGACGAGAUCAUUGUGAUUAAUAAAGAAUCCACGGCUGAGGCCUUGAUUGCGCUUUCGGCUGGGUUUCCCGCCGAUUCUCUCACCGAGGAGGAGAUUGAUGCCAGGGUUGUCCCCGUUAUCGGGGGGAUUGAACAGGUCAAUUACAUUCUUAUUCGGAACCACAUUAUUGCGAAAUGGCGCGAGAAUGUGUCAAAUUGGGUCACCAAAGAGAUGUUUGUCGAUACUAUACCUAAACAUUUCCAUGUUCUUUUGGAUUCUACUUAUAAUUAUCUAGUUUCACAUGGCUACAUUAAUUUUGGUGUUGCCCCGGCGAUCAAGGAGAAGGUCCCGGCUGAACCCACUAAGCCGAGUGUGAUAGUGAUUGGUGCUGGGCUUGCGGGCCUGGCUGCCGCUCGGCAAUUGAUGAGAUUCGGAUUCAAGGUGACUGUUUUGGAGGGUAGGAAGCGAGCGGGUGGGCGGGUUUACACAAAGAAAAUGGAGGGAGGGAAUAGGGUGUGCGCAGCGGCAGAUUUAGGGGGUAGUGUUUUGACUGGUACUUUAGGGAACCCACUCGGGAUCGUGGCUCGACAAUUGGGUUCGUCGCUUCAUAAGGUGAGAGAUAAGUGCCCACUUUAUAGUUUGGAUGGAAAGCCAGUUGACCCCGAUAUGGAUAUGAAGGUGGAAACAGCUUUUAACCGUCUUUUGGACAAGGCAAGUAGGCUUAGGCAGUUAAUGGGGGAGGUCUCGGUGGAUGUAUCUCUUGGUGCAGCAUUGGAAACCUUUCGUCAGGUUUAUGGGGAUGCAGUGAAUGAUGAGGAGAUGAACUUGUUUAAUUGGCAUCUUGCAAAUUUGGAAUAUGCCAAUGCCGGUUUGCUUUCAAAACUUUCCCUUGCAUUUUGGGACCAAGAUGACCCAUAUGAUAUGGGAGGGGACCAUUGCUUCUUGCCUGUAGGGAAUGGAAGACUGGUUCAGGCUUUGGCUGAGAAUGUGACGAUUCUAUAUGAGAAAACAAUACACACAAUUAGAUAUGGUAGUGAUGGUGUGCAGGUCAUUGCAGGGAGUCAGGUCUUUGAAGGUGAUAUGGCGCUUUGUACAGUUCCACUAGGGGUUCUAAAAUGUGGUUCCAUAAAGUUUAUUCCAGAGUUGCCUCAGAGAAAGCUCGAUGGAAUAAAGAGGUUGGGAUUUGGGUUGUUGAAUAAGGUGGCAAUGCUGUUUCCUCAUGUAUUUUGGGGCACAGAUCUUGAUACUUUUGGGCAUCUUUCCGAUGAUCCAAGCCGUCGAGGGGAGUUCUUUCUCUUUUACAGCUAUGCAACAGUUGCCGGUGGUCCUCUCUUGAUUGCUUUGGUAGCGGGAGAAGCAGCUCACAAGUUUGAGAGCAUGCCCCCCACAGAUGCUGUGACCCGUGUUCUUCAAAUUCUUAAAGGUAUCUAUGAACCACAAGGAAUCAAUGUCCCAGAGCCUAUCCAAACAGUUUGUACCAGAUGGGGUGGUGAUCCCUUCAGUCUAGGUUCUUACUCUAAUGUCGCAGUUGGGGCAUCAGGAGAUGAUUAUGAUAUUUUAGCAGAAAGUGUGGGAGAUGGAAGGCUUUUCUUUGCUGGGGAAGCCACCACUAGGCGAUACCCUGCAUCUAUGCAUGGAGCUUUUCUCAGUGGGUUAAGAGAAGCAGCAAAUAUGGCUCACUAUGUUAAUGCACGGACCUUGAGGAAAAAGGUUGAUAGGAGCCCAUCAAAAAAUGCCCAUUCUUGUGCUUCCCUCCUUGCAGAUUUAUUUAGGGAACCUGAUCUAGAAUUUGGUAGCUUUUCUGUUAUUUUUGAUCGGAAAAAUGCUGAUCCCAAGUCAACAGCAAUUUUGAAGGUGACAUUUAGUGAGCCUCGAAAGAAGAGUCAUGAUGGGUCAAAACCAGAUCAACAGCAUUCAAAGAAGUUACUUUUUCAGCAGCUUCAGUCACAUUUUAAUCAUCAACAACAGCUUCAUGUUUACACUUUGUUAUCAAGGCAACAGGUGCUUGAGCUGAGAGAGGUGAGGGGGGGUGAUGAAAUGAGGUUGAAUUACCUCUGUGAAAGGUGGGGAGUGAAGCUUGUGGGAAGAAAAGGUCUGGGGCCUACUGCAGAUUCUGUGAUUGCUUCCAUUAAGGCUGAGAGGGGCAAUCGAAAACCUGCUUCAACUGCUUUGGCUCUUAAAUCAGUUGUUGUAGAACCUAAAGCAUUUAUUUCAUGGCUGUGGAAAAGGGACAUCAAAGCUGAAAACAGGCAUUUUGAAGCGAAAAAUGGUGAGAAAGGCCAAAAUAGUGCGCAGCAGCAAUGGGUCAACAGCCCCUGCUAAUUCAAAUGUGGUAAAUGGUAAAGUGCCAGGGGAAACUAGGACAGCAGAGGAAACUAGAACCACAGAUCAAAUGCUUCUUGACACACUUGGUUCAGGGCAAAAUCAAGGUGACAUGCUGAAGAAGUGAGUUGAAAACCUGGAGAGGUGAGAUGCCAUAAAACCCUUAUUGACUCUUCAUGAACAUUGGAAUGUAUGUUUUUGUGGUUCAAUCGUUUUCCCCUGUAACCUUUCUGGCAGAAAACAAUUAUUGUAUACUAACCUGCUUUUCUUCUCUAGAUCAUCGUCAUCUUUGGUGGGGCUAGUAGGUAAAUAUGCAUUCUUGUAAAGGUUAUUUUGCAAUUUUAAUUUAACCUGACAAGGCAUUGUCUUCUGUUUGAAGAUCUGACUAAAGAGAAUGUUUUUCCGUACUUAUUUUGUGAAAUUCAAAUGUGAUUUUUUUUCUUUUUUAUCACUAAACAAGAAUUUUAUUGAUUAUAGAUAGGCAUAGCCCAAGUAGUGAGGUUCAAAUGUGAUUAGUGGCUAGCAUGUUAAUAAGUCUCUUAUUUCGGUUUGAAAAAUGAGUGAGGGACACGUUUCAAGAAUUGACUUUAUGUUGUGGUUGGGCGUUCCUGGGAAAAAUGGAUUGUCAAUGUUUACUUUUGAGCACUAGCAGACUAGUAGAUAGUAUGAAAAGAAUCUACUAGAAUUUUUGCCGUGGGCCUGUGCACCCCCGGGAUUAGUCGGGACGUUGUCCCUGGACACCCGUUGCCAAUCAAAAAAAAAAAUCUACUAGAAUUUUAAUAAAAUUUAGUCAGUUAAAAUCUCGGGCCAUAUGAACCAUAAAACAUCAACUCUGGAUCCUCCUCCUCACCCCCAUCUGCUGCGAGGGAAUUACUUGCUUGGUUCUUUAUAUAUAUGAACUCUCUAUCCUUUUUGUCUGUGAAUGCAUUGCCAAAAAAACUAGUGAAGGAUUUGCCCCUCCACCUAUGGAUCUAAUAAGGGCUAAUGUGCAAUCUGUGUUCAAGUUUUUUGCCAACCUCUAGCUGUAGAAAAAUUAUAUUUGCAAGUGGAGAGACGGUUUGUAUGUAGGACUCAGCUAUAUUUAUUUAGUAUCUUUGGCUGGAUGAUUGCCAGUGCUAUUGUGAGCUGGGCGAAAAUGUCUGCCAUUUGCAGGAGGACAAUGCUGCUGCUGGUUGGCUUCUCUGGUAAUGGGUCACAAAUGCAAUAUCAAAGAGAGCAUGAGCAAUCUGCAAGCCAACUUCUGUAGAUGCCCCUGAAUUGCUGGGAGUUUUGUGAUCAGACCAGUGUUUGCCUAUGCCACCAGUGAAAUUCAUGAAACCGAUGAUGCCCCAAAAAUACCGAUCGGCCACAAAGUUCGUUGCUGAGGUGUAGAUAUUCCAUGAGGAGUGGUCGCAUGAAGUAUAUACAACGGGGGCAACUGCCUCGAUGUUGAGAUGCAUUGUGUGUUCGAGAUAUUUGAAUUACUAUCUUGUCGUGACUUGUGUGUAUUGGAAGCCAAAUCUUAUUUCCGUCAUUUCCAAAGAAGAAAAAACUCAUCUAGAGCAACAUUGAACACGGUAUUGUUUUUAUGAACUUUUUCACUGUGGACCAUAAUGUAACUUGAAUAGAAUUUGUUUGUCUU